rnacentral:rRNA from 1 species
CCGUGUACGUACAAGCAGUGGGAGCACCCUUCGGGGUGUGACUGCGUACCUUUUGUAUAAUGGGUCAGCGACUUAUAUUCUGUAGCAAGGUUAACCGUAUAGGGGAGCCGGAGGGAAACCGAGUCUUAACCGGGCGUUAAGUUGCAGGGUAUAGACCCGAAACCCGGUGAUCUAGCCAUGGGCAGGUUGAAGGUUGGGUAACACUAACUGGAGGACCGAACCGACUAAUGUUGAAAAAUUAGCGGAUGACCUGUGGCUGGGGGUGAAAGGCCAAUCAAACCGGGAGAUAGCUGGUUCUCCCCGAAAGCUAUUUAGGUAGCGCCUCGUGAAUUCAUCUCCGGGGGUAGAGCACUGUUUCGGCUAGGGGGCCAUCCCGGCUUACCAACCCGAUGCAAACUGCGAAUACCGGAGAAUGUUAUCACGGGAGACACACGGCGGGUGCUAACGUCCGUCGUGAAGAGGGAAACAACCCAGACCGCCAGCUAAGGUCCCAAAGUCAUGGUUAAGUGGGAAACGAUGUGGGAAGGCCCAGACAGCCAGGAUGUUGGCUUAGAAGCAGCCAUCAUUUAAAGAAAGCGUAAUAGCUCACUGGUCGAGUCGGCCUGCGCGGAAGAUGUAACGGGGCUAAACCAUGCACCGAAGCUGCGGCAGCGACACUAUGUGUUGUUGGGUAGGGGAGCGUUCUGUAAGCCUGUGAAGGUGUGUCGUGAGGCAUGCUGGAGGUAUCAGAAGUGCGAAUGCUGACAUAAGUAACGAUAAAGCGGGUGAAAAGCCCGCUCGCCGGAAGACCAAGGGUUCCUGUCCAACGUUAAUCGGGGCAGGGUGAGUCGACCCCUAAGGCGAGGCCGAAAGGCGUAGUCGAUGGGAAACGGGUUAAUAUUCCCGUACUUGGUGUUACUGCGAAGGGGGGACGGAGAAGGCUAUGUUGGCCGGGCGACGGUUGUCCCGGUUUAAGCGUGUAGGUGUGUGUUCCAGGUAAAUCCGGUUCACUUUAACACUGAGGCGUGAUGACGAGGCACUACGGUGCUGAAGCAACAAAUGCCCUGCUUCCAGGAAAAGCCUCUAAGCAUCAGGUAACAUCAAAUCGUACCCCAAACCGACACAGGUGGUCAGGUAGAGAAUACCAAGGCGCUUGAGAGAACUCGGGUGAAGGAACUAGGCAAAAUGGUGCCGUAACUUCGGGAGAAGGCACGCUGACACGUAGGUGAAGUGAUUUACUCAUGGAGCUGAAGUCAGUCGAAGAUACCAGCUGGCUGCAACUGUUUAUUAAAAACACAGCACUGUGCAAACACGAAAGUGGACGUAUACGGUGUGACGCCUGCCCGGUGCCGGAAGGUUAAUUGAUGGGGUCAGCGCAAGCGAAGCUCCUGAUCGAAGCCCCGGUAAACGGCGGCCGUAACUAUAACGGUCCUAAGGUAGCGAAAUUCCUUGUCGGGUAAGUUCCGACCUGCACGAAUGGCGUAAUGAUGGCCAGGCUGUCUCCACCCGAGACUCAGUGAAAUUGAACUCGCUGUGAAGAUGCAGUGUACCCGCGGCAAGACGGAAAGACCCCGUGAACCUUUACUAUAGCUUGACACUGAACAUUGAGCCUUGAUGUGUAGGAUAGGUGGGAGGCUUUGAAGCGUGGACGCCAGUCUGCGUGGAGCCGACCUUGAAAUACCACCCUUUAAUGUUUGAUGUUCUAACGUGGACCCGUGAUCCGGGUUGCGGACAGUGUCUGGUGGGUAGUUUGACUGGGGCGGUCUCCUCCUAAAGAGUAACGGAGGAGCACGAAGGUUGGCUAAUCCUGGUCGGACAUCAGGAGGUUAGUGCAAUGGCAUAAGCCAGCUUGACUGCGAGCGUGACGGCGCGAGCAGGUGCGAAAGCAGGUCAUAGUGAUCCGGUGGUUCUGAAUGGAAGGGCCAUCGCUCAACGGAUAAAAGGUACUCCGGGGAUAACAGGCUGAUACCGCCCAAGAGUUCAUAUCGACGGCGGUGUUUGGCACCUCGAUGUCGGCUCAUCACAUCCUGGGGCUGAAGUAGGUCCCAAGGGUAUGGCUGUUCGCCAUUUAAAGUGGUACGCGAGCUGGGUUUAGAACGUCGUGAGACAGUUCGGUCCCUAUCUGCCGUGGGCGCUGGAGAACUGAGGGGGGCUGCUCCUAGUACGAGAGGACCGGAGUGGACGCAUCACUGGUGUUCGGGUUGUCAUGCCAAUGGCACUGCCCGGUAGCUAAAUGCGGAAGAGAUAAGUGCUGAAAGCAUCUAAGCACGAAACUUGCCCCGA